rnacentral:rRNA from 1 species
AGUGAACGCUGGCGGUAGGCCUAACACAUGCAAGUCGAACGGCAGCACAAUAAGGGCUUGCUCUUACGGGUGGCGAGUGGCGGACGGGGGAGGAAUACAUCGGAAUCUACUUUUUCGUGGGGGGUAACGUAGGGAAACUUACGCUAAUACCGCAUACGACCUACGGGUGAAAGCAGGGGAUCUUCGGACCUUGCGCGAUUGAAAGAGCCGAUGUCGGAUUAGCUAGUCGGCGGGGCAAAGGCCCACCAAGGCGACGAUCCGUAGCGGGUCUGAGAGGAUGAUCAGCUACACUGGAAUUGAGACACGGUCCAGACUACUACGGGACGCAGCGGUGGGGAAUAUUGGACAAUGGGCGCAAGCCUGAUCCAGCCAUGCCGCGUGGGGGAAGAGGGCCUUCGGGUUGUAAUGCCCUUUUGUUGGGAAGGAAAAGCAGCAGGUUAAUCCCCCGCUGUUUUGACGGUACCCAAUGAAUAAGCACCGGCUAACUUCGUG